CUAGGACCGGAUUCGGAGUUAGAGCUGGAGCUGGAUCUGGCGGCGGAGCCUGUGAAGCUGCGCUCAGGGUGGACUUCUCGCCACGGGCUGUUCCAGUGUCCUCCCAGUAUGGCUCUGCCCAGAACAAGAGAGUGCAUACCACCCACAAGUUACGCUGACUAUUCCUAUCAUACUUUGUGAGAAGUUCCAGUCGUCUGACGAAAUUCUCCAUCUCUUCAUUUUCUUUCUGAAUGUAUCAAUCACAUCUUAUGGGCUGCUGUGACAAAGUUCCAAGGCUGGGCAGCUCAACAACAUGCCUGUGCUCUCCCCUGACUUUGGAGCCAUGAGUCCAGGGGCCAGUAGCUGUGUUCCUCUUGAGACCUCUGUCCUUGGCUGCAGGAUGCUCCAGGAUGAAUGCGUGUGAGCCCAGGCAAAUCUCCCGAGUUGCUGCCAGCUGCUCUGGGUCCCCAGGAGCGGGACGAAAAGGAGCCUCACCUGCACCAAGAGGAGCCCCAAGGGGCCAGCGUCAGGGAAACACAGAGGCAAGGAUGUUGUCAUGACCCUGGGUCUAUGCUGAGUCUGCAGCCAUCUGUGUUCCGGGCCUGGGUGGAAUGUGCAUCCUAGUGUAACUUGCCAUCCCUCACCAUGGUGGCAGAGCACAAAUGGCUUUGCUCUUUGGGAAUCUCCUGCUCUAACCAUUUCCCUGGGAUCUGUUAAUGGUCUCACAGAUUUGUGCACUUCUCUUUGACAUUAAGAAUGUUACCCUGGUGGACAGCAUUCUUACCAAGAUUGUCCUCACCUUGUUCUUCGGCUUUUCUAGGACUAGGGAGCCUGACGCUGCAGCCAGCAGCCUGCUGGUCCCAAUGGGCUUUGAUGGCAGAAUCAAGUAUCAUUUCCCUACACAGUUAACACAUGUUCAUUAAGGAAAAAACAUGAGAGAAAGAGAAGCGAAAAGGAAGAGCUAAAUCAACUGA